AAGAGCCGCGUGAAUGUAGAAACGGCGUGAGCCGCUAGGGGGCGAGGGAGAGACGUGACGGAAGGAGCCGAUAAUUGAGGGAGGAGGAGGAGGAGGAAUUAACGUGAUAGCGUCACGCGCACAGAGAAGGCGGAGCCGCGGAGAGAGCGCCAUGGAGGAGAAAGCGAGUUCGGCUCCUGGGCAACGUGAAGGCACAGCUGUAUUCAUGUCCUGCUUGCCGGCUUCCCAGAGGCACCUGGUUGGCUGCUGUGACAGCAGAAUGCUGGACUGGGCCUGAUCCAGCUGCAGGACUCUCGUGCACCUUUGGGGAUUGGAGCAGCAGAUGUUACCUGGAAGAGGUAACUUUUCUGGAGUCAGAAGAGCCUGUUUGAAAGAGUUCAAGAUGUGAGGUAGUUUGCAUUGGAUCCAGCAACGCUGAGUGAGGAGGAAGUAGAUCCUGCUGUUGAAACCUUCUCUGGUCACCAUUUGGCAAGAGUCCUACCUGAUGGGACUUGAGUCCUGGCACCAUCCAGCUCUUAACACUGAAUUUCAAUUCAGUGAAAGGUCACUUGAGGAGGAGAUGCCCGCUUGUGCCAUGCAGCUGCUAUGAUGGUGCCCCCAGAGAGCAUUCCUGUUCAACAACUGCUGUCUUAACUCCUGCACAGCGCCAGCUGGGGGUUGCAUUUAGCCCACUAGUGGGUGAUAGGGGUGGCCCCCCUUUGCUUAGCCCUGUUCCGUGUUGAGUCACUGCCAGCUGACUAAAUCUGGGCAGGGUGUCAGACUUGAAAAUACCCGGAAGUCCCUGGUCAAAGAGCAAGUUUCUUUUAAUAAAUAUGCAGAUAAGAGUAAA